AUCUCAAUUUUAGGGUUGUCGUCCAUCAUAUAUUUUCUUGAUCCCAGAAAAAGAAAGAGAUUCGGUUUUGAUUUGUAUGAUUUGUUUCCUUCUGAAUUUUCACGGGAAAAAUCUUUUGGUUUUGGAUUCGGAUUUCUCUGUGCUGUGUUUGGUUGGGGAAAAAUCGAUGGUGCAGUUAGUGAAAUCCGGGAGUCCGCCGGCUGAACCCGAAACGACGUCAUCAAAUGGGAACAAGGUGCCGGUGAAACUAGAGAUCGUGGAGGAUGAGGAUCCCUUAGAGGAAGAGCAUGGGCCUCUCAACAAGCGUUCCAAGUCAUCGCAGACAGUUCAACAGUGGGGUGCGGGUGCUAAUGCAUUUCCUGUUCCACCUGCGCAAUACAAUCCGCUGGAGGAGCCUAGCCCGUUGGGAUUACGGCUGAGAAAGAGCCCAUCACUUUUGGACUUGAUUCAAAUGAGGCUUUCUCAAGGAGUUUCUUCAAUGCCAGGAACUCAACCGACUGAUAAUAAUAAUUUGGAAGUUAAGGAGAGUAAAACUAGUACCGCUUCUGGCACCACUGACAAGCUCAAGGCUUCAAACUUUCCUGCUUCUAUUCUAAGGAUUGGGAGCUGGGAGUAUAAGUCAAGAUAUGAAGGGGAGUUGGUCGCAAAGUGUUACUUUGCAAAGCAUGCUUGUUUGGGAAGUUCUUGAAGGUGGUCUGAAGAGUAAGAUAGAAAUCCAGUGGUCAGAUAUUAUGGCUCUGAAGGCUAACUGUCCUGAUAAUGCACCUGGGACAUUGACUGUUGUGGUGGCUAGGCAGCCUCUUUUCUUUAGGGAGACUAAUCCACAGCCCGAAAGCACACCUUAUGGCAGGCGACAGCCGAUUUUACUAAUGGACAGGCUAGCAUACACAGGCAACAUUUUCUGCAAUGUCCACAAGGGCUGUUAAAUAAACAUUUUGAAAAGCUCGUCCAGUGUGACAUGCGUUUGAACUUUUUAAGUCGACAGCCAGAGAUAAUUUUGGAUUCACCGUAUUUUGAACAGCGUUCAUCUGUUUUUGAGGAUCCAGAUGAAUCAAAAGGUCAUGAUUUUAAUCAGGUGGAGACUGGUAAAGGAUCCUCUAUUUCGGGUUUCCAAGAUCUAGCAUCACCAUCUGUCGCUUACUCAUCUUCCUUAGAGUUUGAAAAGGGGGAUCAUGCUGGUACAUCAUCAGAGCACAUGUCCCGAGAAGCUCCUUCUCCAAGCUCAGUGAUGGAUACUUGUGCAAUUGAGGGGAGUGGAGUUUGUGAAGCUGUUGAUUCAAAGGGGCCUAGGAAUUGGGAUCAGAUCAAAGUGCCUGGGUUGAAACCAUCUAUGUCAAUGAGCGAUCUCAUGAAUCACAUUGGGAACUGUAUUUCAGAACAAAUGACUUCUGGAAAUCCACCGUUCCCUGCAGAGGGAUCAGAAUGCCAGGACAUAUUAGAGGACAUUGCAGAGUACCUUCUUAGCGACACCCAACUAACAACCUCCUCUGAUGAGAAAAGGCUCAUGGCUAGGGUCAAUUCUCUCUGUUGUCUCUUGCAGAAGGACCCUGCUCCAACCCAGAACUUGCAAGUUAAUGAGGAAAGUUGCAUUGGAGAAUCAGACAGUGGGAAAGGAGUUCAGCCGAACAAUACUAAUGAAUUGUUGCAUGAGAACAGGUGUAAAGAUGAUUCAAAGGAUCCUGAAGGGAAUGUGAAGGAUGUUUCUGGCAGCAAGCAUGCAUCAGGCAUGUCAAGGAAAGACUCGUUUGGGGAGCUGCUGCUUCAUCUUCCUCGAAUUGCAUCUCUUCCCAAGUUCUUGUUUAACAUUUCUGAAGAAGAUGGCGAGAGUCAAACUAGAUAGUUAAUGUUGCUGUUUAUUAGUUGAAAAAUGACAAAUCAAGCUAGUUAGUGAAUUUCUUUCUGUCUCUGUGUCUAUUGUGAAUUUCAGAGUUACUGGCUGUUCAGUAUAUCUAAUGACUCUGAGUUGCAUUAAUUUGAGACAUGGGAAAGCUCUGGGAUUCGGAAAUUUGUAUUGAUGAAGAAUCCUUGUAAAUGUCCUGUGUAAAAAUCUCGAACAGUAUCAUAGGUGCAUUGUUGGUUUCCUUGUAUUUUCGAGUGAAAUGCGUGGCUAUGUUGCUUGUAAGCA